rnacentral:rRNA from 1 species
GUCGAGCGGACUUGAUGGAGUGCUUGCACUCCUGAAGUUAGCGGCGGACGGGUGAGUAACACGUACGCAACCUGCCCUCGAGACUGGGAUAACUACCGGAAACGGUAGCUAAUACCGGAUAAUUUAUUUCUUGCAUUGUGGAAUAAUGAAAGACGGACCAAUCUGUCACUUGGGGAUGGGCCUGCGGCGCAUUAUCUAUUUGGUGGGGUAAUGGCUCACCAGGGCGACGAUGCGUACCCCACCUGAGAGGGUGAACGGCCACACUGGGACUGACACACGGCCCACACUCCUACGGGAGGCAGCAGUAGGGAAUCUUCCGCAGUGGGCGAAAGCCUGACAGAGCAACGCCGCGUGAGUGAUGAAGGUUUUCGGAUCGUAAAGCUCUGUUGCCAAGGAAGAACGUCUUCUAGAGUAACUGCUAAGAGAGUGACGGUACUUGAGAAGAAAGCCCCGGCUAACUACGUGCCAGCAGCCGCGGUAAUACGUAUGGGGCAAGCGUUGUCCGGAAUUAUUGGGCGUAAAGCGCGCGCACGCGGUUCUUUAUCUCUGGUGUUUACACCCGACGCUCAACUUCGGGUCGCACUGAAAACUGGGGGACUUGAGUGCAAAAAAAGAGAGUGAAAUUCCACGUGUAGCGGUGAAAUGCGUAGAUAUGUGGAGGAACACCAGUGGCGAAGGCGACUCUCUGGGCUGUAACUGACGCUGAGGCGCGAAAGCGU